UGGGGAAUAUUGGACAAUGGGCGAAAGCCUGAUCCAGCCAUGCCGCGUGUGUGAAGAAGGUCUUCGGAUUGUAAAGCACUUUAAGUUGGGAGGAAGGGCAGUAAGCGAAUACCUUGCUGUUUUGACGUUACCGACCGAAUAAGCACCGGCUAACUCUGUGCCAGCAGCCGCGGUAAUACAGAGGGUGCAAGCGUUAAUCGGAAUUACUGGGCGUAAAGCGCGCGUAGGUGGUUCGUUAAGUUGAAUGUGAAAGCCCCGGGCUCAACCUGGGAACUGCAUCCAAAACUGGCGAGCUAGAGUAGGGCAGAGGGUGGUGGAAUUUCCUGUGUAGCGGUGAAAUGCGUAGAUAUAGGAAGGAACACCAGUGGCGAAGGCGACCACCUGGGCUCAUACUGACACUGAGGUGCGAAAGCGUGGGGAGCAAACAGG
rnacentral:rRNA from 1 species